GCUGGCGGCGUGCCUCAGACAUGCAAGUCGAACGCGAAAGUUUCCUUCGGGGAACAAGUAGAGUGGCGCACGGGUGAGUAACACGUAGGUAAUCUACCUUCGGAUGGGGAAUAACACCGAGAAAUCGGUGCUAAUACCGCAUAAUGCAGCGGCACCUAAUGGUGACAGUUGUUAAAGCGGGGGAUCGCAAGACCUCGCGUCUGAAGAGGAGCCUGCGGCGGAUUAGCUAGUUGGUAAGGUAACGGCUUACCAAGGCGAUGAUCCGUAGCCGGCCUGAGAGGGCGGUCGGCCACACUGACACUGACAUACGGGUCAGACUCCUACGGGAGGCAGCAGUCGGGAAUUUUGGGCAAUGGGCGAAAGCCUGACCCAGCAACGCCGCGUGAAGGAUGAAAUCCCUCGGGAUGUAAACUUCGCAAGAACAGGAAGAAUAAGUGAGAGUUAACACCUCUUACGAUGACGGUACUGUUUGUAAGCUCCGGCUAACUCCGUGCCAGCAGCCGCGGUAAUACGGGGGGAGCAAGCGUUGUUCGGAUUUACUGGGCGUAAAGGGCGCGUAGGCGGCCACCGCAAGUCGAUUGUGAAAUCUCCGGGCUUAACCCGGAAAGGUCA
rnacentral:rRNA from 1 species